GAGCCAGGCUGGGAACAAAGCAGGAAAAAGAUGGCUUCUGGCAAUAUUGCAG
rnacentral:SRP_RNA from 9 species